rnacentral:rRNA from 1 species
GUCGAGAAUUUUUCACAAUGGGCGAAAGCCUGAUGGAGCGACGCCGCGUGGGGGAUGAAUGGCUUCGGCCCGUAAACCCCUGUCAUUCGGGAUCAAUGCGCCUGGCCUAAUACGUCAGGCGUUGAUAGUACCGGAAGAGGAAGGGACGGCUAACUCUGUGCCAGCAGCCGCGGUAAUACAGAGGUCCCAAGCGUUGUUCGGAUUCACUGGGCGUAAAGGGUGCGUAGGCGGCUAGGUAAGUCUGGUGUGAAAUCUCGGAGCCUAACUCCGAAACGGCACUGGAAACUAUCUGGCUUGAGGUUGGGAGGGGGGACUGGAAUUCUCGGUGUAGCAGUGAAAUGCGUAGAUAUCGAGAGGAACACCAGUGGCGAAGGCGAGUCCCUGGACCAAUCCUGACGCUGAGGCACGAAAGCCAGGGGAGCAAACGGGAUUAGAAACCCGGGUAGUCC